ACUUGUGUCCGCCUUCGCUCGCGGAAAGCGCGUGAAACAGAGAGGAGGAAAGGUGGGCACACAGGCGACGCAAUAUGGGGACGACCCCGUGGCGUGGAGCAUUGCAUGGUGGGAACUGUAGUUCUUUUGUCAGCUAUUGCCUCCAGGGGUUGCAUUAAUGCCGUAAAGCGAAGGAGACUGCGUUUUCAGCUACUACUGCGGAUGAUGCUGAGUGUAUUCUGUGUGUGUUCCUGGCAGUGCAUUAAAAGACUUUGCCCCUCAGUUUUACUCACCCCGGCCCCAUAAAACCAGUAGCAAAGCCCCCUUGUUGUAAUUCAUGCAUUGUGUAAGCAAGAAAGGGCUCCUUCAGGAAGCACCGGCAUGCUCCGUUCAGUCCAGACCGGGCACUGGGCGGCAGCAGCCGCCAGUGAGAGCAAGCAACUACCAACAACCUGCAACUCAGUUUCCCCCGUUUUCUGUGCAGCGGACCAAGUCACAUGUUGUUAAUCGCUGACAGUUCUUGAAAUGGUUGCUAGAAGUUGUUGUUAAUGUUCCCUUUUGCUUUUGGAUUCAUUGGCAUGAUGCAAGCAGGAAUUUGCCUUAACUGUAGGAAUCCAUCAGCAGGUUUUCAGGUGGCAGACACAUAGCCACUUGAUAGUUGGAUUCAUUAGCAUGAUGCAAGCAAGAAUGUUGGCCUAAUGAAAGGAAACCAUCAGCAGAUCUUACUGGAAAACUGCAAGUGCCUGACAGAGCAGAACAGCUGGAUCAGCCCUGGUGGAUCAACCGAAGGCGUGAGUUUCAAGUUGGAGAGUAUUUCCCCCUUCAUUCAGAAUCUUUUUGGAUCAGUUAAAAAUUGGGACUCCUUGGAGACAGAGAGGAGUGGAGAAAGAAACAUGUGGGAUGGGAAUAUAUUAAGUUGCAUCAUGCUGAAAUGUUUCUGCUGAUGCAGAUUUGCAUAAAUAUAGCUGUUUUAUAUUUGUA